GACGAACGCUGGCGGCGUGCUUAACACAUGCAAGUCGAACGGAAAGGCCCUGCUUUUGUGGGGUGCUCGAGUGGCGAACGGGUGAGUAACACGUGAGUAACCUGCCCUUGACUUUGGGAUAACUUCAGGAAACUGGGGCUAAUACCGGAUAGGAGCUCCUGCUGCAUGGUGGGGGUGGGAAAUUUUCGGCGGUUGGGGAUGGACUCGCGGCUUAUCAGCUUGUUGGUGGGGUAGUGGCUUACCAAGGCUUUGACGGGUAGCCGGCCUGAGAGGGUGACCGGCCACAUUGGGACUGAGAUACGGCCCAGACUCCUACGGGAGGCAGCAGAGGGGAAUAUUGCACAAUGGGCGGAAGCCUGAUGCAGCAACGCCGCGUGCGGGAUGACGGCCUUCGGGUUGUAAACCGCUUUCGCCUGUGACGAAGCGUGAGUGACGGUAAUGGGUAAAGAAGCACCGGCUAACUACGUG
rnacentral:rRNA from 1 species